CGCCUGGUGGCUUAGUGGUUAGCAUGUUUGCCUCACACCAGGGUCCAGGGUUCGAUUCCCACCAGGGCCA